AACGAACGCUGGCGGCAGGCUUAACACAUGCAAGUCGAACGAGAUCUUCGGAUCUAGUGGCAGACGGGUGAGGAACACGUGGGAACAUCCCUUUCAGUUCGGAAUAACGUUGGGAAACUAACGCUAAUACCGGAUACGUCCUUCGGGAGAAAGAUUUAUCGCUGAAAGAUUGGCCCGCGUCUGAUUAGCUAGUUGGUGAGGUAACGGCUCACCAAGGCUACGAUCAGUAGCUGAUCUGAGAGGAUGAUCAGCCACAUUGGGACUGAGGCACGGCCCAAACUCCUACGGGGGGCAGCAGUGGGGAAUAUUGGACAAUGGGCGCAAGCCUGAUCCAGCCAUGCCGCGUGAGUGAUGACGGCCUUCGGGUUGUAAAGCUCUUUUGUCCGGGAAGAUAAUGACUGUACCGGAAGAAUAAGCCCCGGCAAACUUCGUGCCAGCCGCCGCAGUAA
rnacentral:rRNA from 1 species